rnacentral:rRNA from 1 species
AUGAACGCUAGCUACAGGCUUAACACAUGCAAGUCGAGGGGCAGCAUGGUCUUAGCUUGCUAAGGCCGAUGGCGACCGGCGCACGGGUGAGUAACACGUAUCCAACCUGCCGUCUACUCUUGGACAGCCUUCUGAAAGGAAGAUUAAUACAAGAUGGCAUCAUGAGUCCGCAUGUUCACAUGAUUAAAGGUAUUCCGGUAGACGAUGGGGAUGCGUUCCAUUAGAUAGUAGGCGGGGUAACGGCCCACCUAGUCUUCGAUGGAUAGGGGUUCUGAGAGGAAGGUCCCCCACAUUGGAACUGAGACACGGUCCAAACUCCUACGGGAGGCAGCAGUGAGGAAUAUUGGUCAAUGGGCGAGAGCCUGAACCAGCCAAGUAGCGUGAAGGAUGACUGCCCUAUGGGUUGUAAACUUCUUUUAUAAAGGAAUAAAGUCGGGUAUGGAUACCCGUUUGCAUGUACUUUAUGAAUAAGGAUCGGCUAACUCCGUGCCAGCAGCCGCGGUAAUACGGAGGAUCCGAGCGUUAUCCGGAUUUAUUGGGUUUAAAGGGAGCGUAGAUGGAUGUUUAAGUCAGUUGUGAAAGUUUGCGGCUCAACCGUAAAAUUGCAGUUGAUACUGGAUAUCUUGAGUGCAGUUGAGGCAGGCGGAAUUCGUGGUGUAGCGGUGAAAUGCUUAGAUAUCACGAAGAACUCCGAUUGCGAAGGCAGCCUGCUAAGCUGCAACUGACAUUGAGGCUCGAAAGUGUGGGUAUCAAACAGGAUUAGAUACCCUGGUAGUCCACACGGUAAACGAUGAAUACUCGCUGUUUGCGAUAUACAACAAGCGGCCAAGCGAAAGCGUUAAGUAUUCCACCUGGGGAGUACGCCGGCAACGGUGAAACUCAAAGGAAUUGACGGGGGCCCGCACAAGCGGAGGAACAUGUGGUUUAAUUCGAUGAUACGCGAGGAACCUUACCCGGGCUUAAAUUGCAGAUGAAUUACGGUGAAAGCCGUAAGCCGCAAGGCAUCUGUGAAGGUGCUGCAUGGUUGUCGUCAGCUCGUGCCGUGAGGUGUCGGCUUAAGUGCCAUAACGAGCGCAACCCUUGUUGUCAGUUACUAACAGGUUCCGCUGAGGACUCUGACAAGACUGCCAUCGUAAGAUGUGAGGAAGGUGGGGAUGACGUCAAAUCAGCACGGCCCUUACGUCCGGGGCUACACACGUGUUACAAUGGGGGGUACAGAGGGCCGCUACCACGCGAGUGGAUGCCAAUCCCCAAAACCUCUCUCAGUUCGGACUGGAGUCUGCAACCCGACUCCACGAAGCUGGAUUCGCUAGUAAUCGCGCAUCAGCCACGGCGCGGUGAAUACGUUCCCGGGCCUUGUACACACCGCCCGUCAAGCCAUGGGAGCCGGGGGUACCUGAAGUGCGUAACCGCGAGGAGCGCCCUAGGGUAAAACUGGUGACUGGGGCU